UACAUAUGUUUAUUCAAAAUACAGCUCACUGUCUUAAUCUGCUAAAGUAGUAGACCUUGUUUACCUAUCAUCUUUAGAGUGCAUUAAGCAGUUGUUAAGCGAAAAUUGCGUCAUCUAUUAGUGAGCCUCUGUUUACAAGUUGACGGCUGUUUAUGAGUUUUGAAGAAGGAAUCCAAAAAUAAAUUUGAUUUUCACUGAAAAUCUAUGAAAUAAAUAUGUAGCGACUAAUCAUACACAACAAUUGUAUCAAGUUGCCGACAUAAAAAUACCAGCUGGCUCAACCUUUAUAGAUACUUUUGAAGAGCUCUUAUAAGCAUUAAUUAAUGUUCGAAUGAUGUAGUUAUUGCUUAAAAAAAAGAACCGCCUGGCGUUAUUCUCGAGUAAAAGUAAAAUCAACAUGUGCAACGAAGGAAUGGAUGCACUGACUGCCGUCAAUUUCUCUCAGCCGUCCUCCCAAUAAAAAUCAUUAAGACAUGUUAUUAAAAACAUUAAAAGGCAUACCAACGGGUGUUGUAUCUUACAAAUCACCUCAUGGGAUCUGUUUUUUGUCAAACUACGGCAUUACGCCUUACAAGAAAAAAUGUAGAGAGUGAAACGAAACUGAAUUGGGAUGAUUCUUAGCAUUUAAAAAA